UACAUUAGCAUGGGAUAAUGGAAUAGGACCCUGUCCUCCUAUUUUCAGUUGGUUUUGGCAGCGCGAGGACUAGGGUAAUGAUUAAUAGGGAUAGUUGGGGGCAUUAAUAUUUAAUUGUCAGAGGUGAAAUUCUUGGAUUUAUGAAAGAUUAACUUCUGCGAAAGCAUCUGCCAAGGAUGUUUUCAUUAAUCAAGAACGAAAGUUAGGGGAUCGAAGACGAUCACAUACCGUCGUAGUCUUAACCAUAAACGAUGCCGACCAGCGAUUAGGAGACGUUGAAUACAAAACACCACCAUCGCCC
rnacentral:rRNA from 1 species